GAUGAAGAACGUAGUGAAAUGCGAUAACUAAUGUGAAUUGCAGAAUUCAGUGAAUCAUCGAGUCUUUGAACGCACAUUGCGCCCCCUGGUAUUCCGGGGGGCAUGCCUGUCCGAGCGUCAUUGCUGCCCUCAAGCACGGCUUGUGUGUUGGGCUCCGUCCCCCCGGGGACGGGCCCGAAAGGCAGCGGCGGCACCGAGUCCGGUCCUUGAGCGUAUGGGGCUUUGUCACCCGCUCUGUAGGCCCGGCCGGCGCCAGCCGACAACCCAUCAUCCUUUUCAGGUUGACCUCGGAUCAGGUAGGGAUACCCGCUGAACUUAAGCAUAUCAAUAAGCGGAGGA
rnacentral:misc_RNA from 1 species